GAUGAACGCUGGCGGCGUGCCUAAUACAUGCAAGUCGAGCGAACGGACGAGGAGCUUGCUCCUCUGACGUUAGCGGCGGACGGGUGAGUAACACGUGGAUAACCUACCUAUAAGACUGGGAUAACUUCGGGAAACCGGAGCUAAUACCGGAUAAUAUAUUGAACCGCAUGGUUCAAUAGUGAAAGACGGUUUUGCUGUCACUUAUAGAUGGAUCCGCGCUGCAUUAGCUAGUUGGUAAGGUAACGGCUUACCAAGGCAACGAUGCGUAGCCGACCUGAGAGGGUGAUCGGCCACACUGGAACUGAGACACGGUCCAGACUCCUACGGGAGGCAGCAGUAGGGAAUCUUCCGCAAUGGGCGAAAGCCUGACGGAGCAACGCCGCGUGAGUGAUGAAGGUCUUCGGAUCGUAAAACUCUGUUAUUAGGGAAGAACAUAUGUGUAAGUAACUGUGCACAUCUUGACGGUACCUAAUCAGAAAGCCACGGCUAACUACGUG
rnacentral:rRNA from 1 species